rnacentral:rRNA from 1 species
GAUGAACGCUGGCGGCGUGCCUAAUACAUGCAAGUCGAGCGAACGGACGAGAAGCUUGCUUCUCUGAUGUUAGCGGCGGACGGGUGAGUAACACGUGGAUAACCUACCUAUAAGACUGGGAUAACUUCGGGAAACCGGAGCUAAUACCGGAUGAUAUUUUGAACCGCAUGGUUCAAAAGUGAAAGACGGUCUUGCUGUCACUUAUAGAUGGAUCCGCGCUGCAUUAGCUAGUUGGUAAGGUAACGGCUUACCAAGGCAACGAUGCAUAGCCGACCUGAGAGGGUGAUCGGCCACACUGGAACUGAGACACGGUCCAGACUCCUACGGGAGGCAGCGGUAGGGAAUCUUCCGCAAUGGGCGAAAGCCUGACGGAGCAACGCCGCGUGAGUGAUGAAGGUCUUCGGAUCGUAAAACUCUGUUAUUAGGGAAGAACAUAUGUGUAAGUAACUGUGCACAUCUUGACGGUACCUAAUCAGAAAGCCACGGCUAACUACGUG